rnacentral:lncRNA from 1 species
AUGACUCACAUCUAUUUCUUCUUCUUUUUCAUUUCUUAUUAUCUGAAGAAUUGCUAUAAAGUCCAAAUUGGUAAAUCUCUUAUGGAAGAAGGUUGAUGCGGUUUUAGCAAAUGAUGACAGUUUAGGUCUUGGUGAUUGCCUACGUUCUAGCCCACGGCGACCCAUUGGAAAAACCAUUACUGGGGCUUUCAACAUUUCUAAAAGGGUGAGAACGGCGGCGACGGUGAUGGUGACAGAUGCCUUUCUUUUGUUCUACCCGCAGCUUUCACAACAAGCGUCAAUUAUGGCUCAUUAUAACGUCCAAGAUCUGCUAUCUUACCAUUGUUUAACUGGUGAGAAACUACUACCAAUUGAUGUGUGUUUUAGCUAUCUUUUUUACCUCACGUAAAUGUUGUUUUACAUCCGUUUUAUGUUUGUUUUUGUGCCAGUGCCCUUGAAACAGAUUCUUGUAUCAGAGUUGGAGAAGAUUGUCAAUAAGUUGCGGGUGAAAUAUAGGACAUAUCUCAUAGAGUUUGAUGUUGAACAUGUGAGCUAAUUAUAGGACGUGACCUCACCUUGCAUAAUUCGUGUAUUCUUUUCAUUAUUGCGUUGAUUAUGAUAGCAGUGUGUCCUUUAGGGAUGAUCUUUUUGAGCUUAUUUUUUUUUCUUAUCUCUUUCUCCUGAUUUUGAACAAUCUGUUUUUGCCUUAUGUUUUGGAACAUUUUAUUUAGAUCCUUGCUUGUCAAGGUUUUGUGGAUGUAAUGGAUGUUUUGAGGUGUAAUAGAUCGUCUGUUGCUAUCUAUGGUUCACGAUGGAUUAUUCCAAUCUUAUUUUAUCUAAUAUGUUUUGAUUAAUAUUGAGUUAAUAAGUUGAUAUACAUGUCACUUUUCUCCUAAAGAAGUUGAAAGGACUCGGACUCUUUUGGAAAUUUAGAAAAACAUACUUGCGGCAUAGUAAAAUGUUAUAGUUCUGCUUUGGUGAUAAUAUUCUUUUUU